GAUGAACGCUGGCGGCGUGCCUAAUACAUGCAAGUCGAACGAAACUUCUUUAUUACCGCGUGCUUGCACUCACCGACAAAGAGUUGAGUGGCGAAAGGGUGAGUAACACGUGGGCAUCCUGCCCAAAAGAGGGGGCUAACACUUGGAAACAGGUGCUAAUACAGCAUAACGAUAGUUACCGCAUGGUAACUCUGCUAAAGGUGGCUAUACUACCGCUUUUGGAUGGGCCCGCGUCGCAUUAGCUAGUUGGUCGGGUAAAGGCUUACCAAGGCAAAGAUGCGUAGCCGAAUUGAGAGGUUGAUCGGCCACAUUGGAACUGAGACACGGCCCAAACUCCUACGGGAGGCAGCAGUAGGGAAUCUUCCACAAUGGGCGAAAGCCUGAUGGAGCAACGCCGCGUGGGUGAAGAAGGUCUUCGGAUCGUAAAACCCUGUUGUUAGGGAAGAAAGUGCGUGAGAUUAACUGUUCACGUUUCGACGGUAUCUAACCAGAAAGCCACGGCUAACUACGUG
rnacentral:rRNA from 1 species